AUCCUGGCAACUUUUAAAGUAAGACAAUUAACAAACCGCUCAUUGGAAAGAUCAUGAUCUCAGAAAUGUCUGCAGCAAUAUUUAUUGGCAACCCAAUUGGCUGAGUGUAUGGUUUACUCCUGUGGCCUUUCUUCUCCCAAAGAUGUCCUGCAAGGCAGCAGGUAUGGGUUUUUCCUCGGGGUUUACUCCCGAAGCCUUUCUCACGAAUGCAUAUAGCCAGAAGGCAGCAGAGGUUUAGGACCAGAGUUUUCCUUCUCCUAGAUGGGCUACCUUCCCAGUGGACAAGCCCUACCUGCCCCUAAGGGCGGUGUAAAAAUGUAAUAAACAAGCAAGCAAGCAAAGCCAUCUCCAUCUUUCACCUAAGAUGCACUCCUCUCCUGUCUUUCACCUGGCUGGGAUGAAAAGGGGCAGGCAAGUUUCACCAUAGGAACAGAAGAAGAGUCUGUUAGAUCCAGCAUCGUUUUCACCCAGUAGCCAAAUGCCCUCAAGGGAAACCCAUAAGUUUCCUCUGCCUGAGAGCUAUGAAUUGCUACUGGCAGCCAAAGCAGAUGAUAUUGAGUUAGGUGGCCGAAAAAAAUUACAUAUCGCAAAGUGUUGAAGCAAUGAUUCUUCAUCAACAACUUUGUUGGACUGGUCAUGUUGUGCGGAUGCCUGAUGAUUGUCUUCCAGUGCAACUACUCUAUUUCCAACUUAAAAAUGGAAAGUGUCAUGCUGGUGGUCAACCAAAGAGGUUUAAAGACUCUCUCAAGGCAAAUCUUUAAAAAUGUAGUAUAUAAAGAGAAAUUUCCUGGAAGUAAAAAUUAGGCUUAGGGGUAAAAUAAGAUUAUGUUGUCAAUAAAUAUUAAGGAUUGGAGUAUUAAUAAAGGUGAAGAAGUUAGUAAAUGAAAGAAGUUAAUAUUAUUAGAACUGUGAAUUUGGAGAACUGCUAAACAGGUGAUAGAAUGAAAUUCAGUUAGAGGGGAUUCGAGGAAGUCAGUUAUCAGUGUAAUUAAAUUAGGAUUGGGAAGUUAAAAUCUUUUUUCUUUUUUUAAUGUGUUUUCUCUUUAUUUUUAUGUAUUGUAAUGUUUUUGUUUUUUGUUUUUUCCUUGUUUAUUUCUUAUCUUACGUGAUAAAUGUGAAAAUCAAUAAAAAAAUUGAAAAAAAUAAAAAUAUAGUAUAAACACUAACAACUGGGAAACACCGGCCUGCGAGCGCUCCAACUGGAGAACAGCCUUUACCAAAGGUGUCAUGGGGUUUGAAGACACUCGAACUCAGGAUGGAAGGGAGAAACUUGCUAAGAGAAAGGCAAAUCCACACUGUGAUCAACUUCCCGGAAACCAAAGUCCCCACUGUGGAAGGACGUGUGGAUCCAGAAUUGGCCUCCACAGUCACUUACGGACUCACAUUUAAAACCGUGUUUAUGGAAGACGAUCUUACUCAGCUACCAGGGAUUGCCAAAGAAGAAGAUAGCCCAAGAUCACAUGGAAGAUUGUUUUCUCCUGCUUUGGAGAGUAGGACUCGAACCCAUGGCUUCAAGUUACAAGAAUGGAAAUUCCAACUAAACAUCAGGAAGAACUUUCUGACAGCAAGAGCUGUCUACAUUUUAUAUGUGCCUUGUUCAGAUGUUGUGAGUUUGUACUUACCUUCUAUCCAUUGGUUGGAGGGAACCCCAUUUAUAUUUUUCCAGUUCUUUAAUACCUGUCUGCCAUGCUGGUGUUGGUGCAAAAAAAUGGAAAACAGAUAACGAAAGAAAAGAGGCGUCUCAAACUGCUAGAAUAUGUGGAGUUAGCAGGUAUGGCCACCAGAAUAAGAAACCAAAAUGAUGAUCCCAGGAGUAAAAAAAGGUUUUAUUUAAAUAUGCAACGACAGCAUCAUGAAUAUUAUUAGCUAAGUACUGGAAAGAAGCACGUGUUCCAGCGAAAGAAGAUUGGCAAAUCAAAUUAAUGGAAUAUGCUGAAAUAGCUAAAUUGACGUUAAAACUAAGAAGAAUAGACAACAACGGAUUUAAAGAAGAAUGGAAGGACUUUAUUGCAUAUAUACAAAAGCACUGUACACAGGUCAAUACAUUGGCAGGAUUUUGAAGUACUUGUAAUGUUGUGAUUAUGAAUAAGAUAAUAAGUAAAAACAAUGACUUUUCAGGCUACAGAGGAUGUGAAGAAAUACAAUGUAACCAAGGAAGGGUUUUUAAAUAUUUGGACAUGAGUAUAUAUUGUUAUUGUAUAAGUUUGUUAUUUUUGGAAAAUUAAUAAAAUGUUAUAUAAAAAAGGAAAGAAACCAAAAUGAUAAAAGAUAUAAGGAAGACUGGGUAUUAUUUAUUGAUUAUAUGAACAAAAAUUAUAAGCAGGCAAUUAGCCUAGCAGGAUGGUAAUAUUUUCAGCAGCGUAAGUUAGAACUAAAAUUAAUGGGAUGAGCAGAGAAAGAUUGGGAAAACUAAGAAGACGCGAAAGGAAGUGGAAGUCCGUCAGUUACCGUAUUGUUUUUAAAAAUGUAAUAGAAUAUCUAACAUGUAAUUUUAUUUUUCCUAUUUCCUAUUACUUUCGGGGGCGUUUCUUGUGUUGAAAUGUAUCAGAAAUGCAAAUUUAAAAAAUAAAUACCUGUCUUUUUGCAGUAGUAAGGGAGUUCAUUCUUAUUGUCCCCUUGUUAGGUUCCAUGUAUUGGGGAUAUAAUUCAAAAGGGUAUUUUCCUCUGCAAAUUUAAGAUAUUUCCAUACAGUUACAUUAAUUGUUUCUGUUACCCUAUGCUACAAAUUUGCGAAUACAUUGGUAAGAACAUAUGUUUUAAAAAAGUAUUGACCCUGUUCAGGGUGGAUUUGAUUUAAAUCAAAUCGAUUUAAAUCACUAGUCAAUAAGACUUGAUUUAAAUCACUAGCCAGCAAGACUUGAUUUAAAUCAUUAUUUUUUUUACAGAAAGACUCAUUCUUGCUGGUAUAAUCUUAAUAUUUACAACCAGAUGAAGGUUUCAUUUUUGGAAUAACAAAUUUUCAGAGUAGUUUUUACAGUUAUAUCAAAAAUUACUGAUUUGGUUAUACUAUUAGAAAUACAUUGACAGAUAAUUAUGAAAUUAUUGUGAGGUUUAAUAAGUUAACUGCUUAUAUUUGGACAACUUUUCUGCUGUACUUUUUUUGGAAGGAGAAAAAUGAUCAUUUCCUUAAUAACAGUUAAAAUAAUUUAUUUAACUAAAACAAUAACAUUAUAGCAGAUGUAUCAAUGUUUGUUAACUGAUGUGGUUAAACUUUUUUUUUUUAAAAAAACCCUUUUAAAAAAAUCUGAUUAUUUUGAUUUUUUUACAUAAAAAAAUCAUCAAUUUUUAUCCACCCUGACCCUGUUACAUCUCCAGCAGCUAAUGUUUUGUGCCUCUUGCACUGCUUUGAUCUGGAAUAUGGAAGGCAGUUUGCAUUAACAAACAUAAUAUCGCUAGAGGGCAAUGUUGCAUAGCUUUCUCUGCUAGCGCUGAAAAGCACCGGGAUAAAUUCCCUUUCAGUUGCUCUGGGCACCUCUCCCCUCAUUAAGUUUUGAUAUUCAUACCCCUAAAAAGCGUGAAUGCGGUGCACAAGUUUGCAAAGAUAGGGUCUCAUUGUGGGUAGGGAUGGCCAAGGAAUUCAAUUCAGUUUACAUUGAGAGGUGAACUUACUCAAUCCACACUUGCGGAAGCAAAAUGUAAACCAGAACCAAAACAAAAUUUGCACUGCUCUGGAUUUUGCAAUGCAGUCACUCAGCUAAGCCUUAUGAACGAAAAUGGGAUGAAGCGUGUUGAAAAAAUGCACAUAUGCGAAAAUAACAUCCAAAAUGCAUUAUAUUGCGGGUGGGGAUCCUUUGAAAAUGUGUAUAUCAGGCAAAAUGGAAAGAAAUCAGUCUAUUGACUUCACUGUACCUUUUCAGACACCUGCUAAACACAUUUUUGUUUAUGCAAGACAUUUAGAAAGUUGAUGUGUGUUUUAAAUAUGUUUUUGCUGACCAUUCUUCCUUAGGCUUGGUUUCCAGACCAGUUAUCCUCCUGGCCACCCUCCUCUGAAGUUUGCCUCUUUUGUCUGACUGACGAACAAUUCUGGAUAACCUGUAAGCCUGCAUGCUCUUAUAUUGGCAGAUAAAGAGACACACAUCUCAAACCUUUCUUUUUCUUUUUCUUCUUCUUAACUUACAUCUCAGAUUCUCCCCCUGCCCCACACCCAGCCAUUCGACUCCUGGAUAUCACACUGCAAAAAAUGAAUUGAGAAGUCAGAAGGGACCCAUGUGGAACCUUUGUUUUGUUUCUAUGGCAUGGGUAGGCAAACUAAGUCCCGGGGGCCGGAUCCGACCCAAUCGCCUUCUAAAUCUGGCCCGCGAGCGGUCCGGGAAUCAGUGUGUUUUUACAUGGGUAAAGGUAAAGGGACCCCUGACCAUUAGGUCCAGUCGUGACCGACUCUGGGGUUGCGGCGCUCAUCUUGCUUCACUGGCCAAGGGAGCCGGCGUACAGCUUCCGGGUCAUGUGGCCAGCAUGACUAAGCCGCUUCUGGCGAACCAGAGCAGCGCACGGAAACGCCGUUUACCUUCCCGCCGGAGCGGUACCUAUUUAUCUACUUGCACUUUGACGUGCUUUCGAACUGCUAGGUUGGCAGGAGCAGGGACCGAGCAACGGGAGCUCACCCCGUCGCAGGGAUUCGAACCGCCAACCUUCUGAUCGGCAAGUCCUAGGCUCUGUGGUUUAACCCACAUGACCCACACAUACAGCGCCACCCGCGUUGUAUAGCACAUGAGUAGAAUGUGUGCUUUUAUGUAAAAUGCAUCUCUGGGUUAUUUGUGGGGCAGAGGAAUCCAUUCAUUUUUAUUCCCCCCCCCCCCAAAUAUAGUCUGGCCCCCCACAAGGUCUGAGGGACAGUGAACCGCCCCCCUGCUGAAAAAUUUUGCUGCCCCCUGUUCUAUGGCAGUGCAGUUCAAGGACCCAGGAUCUACUGCUCCUUUUAAAAAAUAACUAUUUAUUUACUUUUGAAUGAAAUCCAGACUUAUUCUGUGCAUAAGUGAUUGCGCUUUCUGUAAGCAAGAGAAACAGCGAGCCUAGGUCUGUUCUGUCUAGAAACAGGCUUGUGACCCACACUGGGCUGAGUUAUCCGCGGGUUCCUCUCCUCUUCAUUUGGAUAUCAUACACCAUCUGGCUCUCUGGCAAAGCUUAGCAAAGCACCACCUGAGUGGGGCAAAUUGCUGGCGGUGAAUCAGCUGCACCUGUUGGGUUUUAACCUGCUCUUGACUGUGAUGUUUACUAUUUUAUUCUAAUGCAUCAUUGAAUAUUGCUUUAUUUGAUAUAAGUUGCACCUUUUAAAGUUAUUGCGGCUUUUUGCAUUGGAUCAGAUUGUUAUUAGGCGUGUGAUCUUCGCCGUCUAUUUUGUCGCUUCUUCAGCUUCUAAACCGCCUUGUGUAUAGUAAUAUAGAAAGGCAGUAUACAAAUUAACAGUGAAAUGAAAUGCAACUGGCUGGGUUUGGCGGGGUUUAUUGUUCCUUGCGAACACCGUUAGCUGAAUCACAAAUCACGCAGCGUUCAGAAGCAUCUCUGCCUGGAAGUGAUCUAGCCAGGAAAGUACCUAAGAGUUGCGUUUAUGUUGCAGUUGGGGAUUAAAUGGAAAGGGAGCAGAUGGUAGCAGUGACCCCUGAUGAAGAAUCUUUUUCUUUUUUUGCUCAAGAAGGAUCCUCCGCUAAAAUUGCUACUGUUCUCCCAUGUCGUGCAAGCACCCUCUGGUGGAGAAAGAUAGCCAGUGCAACCAUCGCGCCUUGAAAACGUGAUUGCAACAAGGUAAACUCACUGUAAACCAUGGGUAGGCAAACUAGGGGCCAGAUCCGGCCCAAUCACCUUCUAAAUCCAGCCCACGGACGGUCCAGGAAUCAGCGUAUUUUUACCUGAGUAGAAUGUGUCCUUUUAUUUAAAAUGCAUCUCUGGGUUAUUUGUGGGGCAUAGGAAUUCAUUCAUUACUUUUUUUCAAAAUAUAUUCCGGCCCCCCACAAGGUCUGAGGGACAGUGGGCCAGCCCCCUGCUGAAAAAGUUUGCUGACCCCUGUAACCAUCUCGUACCUAAAGGACCGCCUCUCCUGGUAUGUCCCACGGAGGACCUUACGGUCUUCAAACAAAAACAUCUUGGAGGUUAGGCUGGCCUCAACCAGAGCCAGGGCUUUUUCGGUUGUGACUCCGAUCUGGUGGAACACUCUGUCACAAGAGACUAGGGCCCUGCAGGACUUGACAUCUUUCCGCAGGGCCUGCAAGACAGAGCUGUUCCACCAGGCCUUUGGCCAAGGCACAGUCUGACCCCCUCCUUUGGUAAUCCUCAUAGAACUCUAGCCCAAUGGUUGCCAUUAAUUUGACUCUGAAUUGAUUUUAGAAUGAAUUGAUUUUAGAAUGUAUUUCAAUUAAUUGAUUGUGAUUUUAUGUAAACUAUGUUAUUUUUACUGUUGUUAGCCUCUCUGAGCCUGGCUUCAGCUGGGGAGGACGGGAUAUAAAUAAAAUAUUAUUAUUAUUAUAUUGAUCCAGUGAGCAACCUGGCUUCGGUAUUCCGCACUAGCUGAAGUUUCCAAACCGUCUUCAGAGGCAGCCCUACGUAUAAUGCAUUGCAGUAAUCUAACAUUGAGGUUUACCAGAGCAUAGGUAGUUAGGCUGUCCGUGUCCAGGCAGGGGCGUAGCUGGGCCACCAGCCGAAGCUGAUGGAAGGCACUCUGUGCCACUGUGACCACCUGAGCCUCCAGAAUCCAGGACCUGCUCCUUGAGAGCGAAUGUAACCCCCCAUCAAGAGCAGGCGACCUCCCACCCACUAGGGGACCACCCACAAAUAGUGCCUCUGUCUUAAUCUGGAUUGAGCUGCGGUUUGUAGCUUGCGGAGACCAGAGAGCAAAAUGAAAGCCAAAGACUGCAAUCAGCUGGCGAUUGGAGCAGAUGUGUCAUGCAUUGCAUGUCUUUUUGUGGGAGUGUAAGACCAGCCCUGCAAGAUCAGGCCAGUGACUCAUCUCAUCUUCAAUCCUGUUCUCACAGUUGCCAAGCCAGAGCCUCUAGGAAACCAGCAAGCAGGAGUUGAGCAGGGCUGGGCGAUAGAUCUAUAUAUUGCCCCAAACCAGUUCAAAGUCCAUAUUGUGAUACCAGUUUCGUAAUUUUUGACCUGGCGAUAUAUUGCAAAUAAUGGUGUUGGGGUGUGUUUGUGUAUGUGUGCUUGCAUGCUAUGCAAGAAUCACGAUGUCUCUACACUGCACCAUCCUUCUUUCAGACAUCGUGAUAUAUCGGUAUAUCAUGAUGUUUAGCUGGUGAUAUAGCACAGGGUUGAAAACCAGAUAUCCCCCAGCCUUACUGUUUGCCUCCACAUACUUCCACCCUUAUUUCAGACAUCAUGAUAUAUCAAUAUAUUGUGAUGUUUAGCGAUAUGGAUAUGUCGAAGUAUCACCCGAAGUACAGUGGUGCCCCGCAAGACGAAUGCCUCGCAAGACAAAAAACUCGCUAGACGAAAGAGUUUUCCGUUUUUUGAGUCGUUCCGCAAGACGAAUUUCCCUAUGGGCUUGCUUUGCAAGACGAAACGUCUUGUGAGUUCUUGCGAGUUUGUUUCCUUUUUCUUAAAGCCGCUAAGCCGUUAAUAGCCGCUAAGCCGUUAAUAGCCGCUAAGCCGCUAAUAGCCGCUAAACCGCUAAGCCGCUAAUAGCCAUGCUUCGCAAGACGAAAAAACCGCAAGACGAAGAGACUCACAGAACGGAUUAAUUUCGUCUUGCGAGGCACCACUGUAUCACUUUUCUCUAAACCAAAAGGUCCCAAAUGCUGCAGCUUCUCAUAGGGGAGUCGCUUGACCUCCACGAUCGUUUUGGUUACCCUUUUGGGAACCAUUACCAGCUCUGCAAUAUCCCUUGCACACAGCUAAACAUUCAGGUGGAUGGAUUGAGCCCUACAAGACAGCUGGACAACAUUGUCAGCUAACAGUAAGGCUGGCUUUGCUAGAAACACAUAUUUAAGUUCUCCGAUUCCAGAAGUCCCAGCUGCUCACAAAGGACACCGUUUCAAGGAAAAUACAAGAACAAUGGCAUCACCUGAUGCAUGUUAUCAUUUUAUUUUGCUGCUGGUGGGAAACUUGCCAUAUUUGCAUUUUUGAGCCUGAAUAGUUCUAAUUUCCCAUUUUUUAAUUGCAGAAGCUCAAGAGGAACAUUUACUUUGUUUUCACUGAGCAGUUAUACAAUUAUUCCUUUUCAGAUACUAUGUGAACCAUGAACCCUAAUAGGCUAGGCUUUGUUAAUGCAAUUUGGCAGAGGUAUUUACAUGAAAACAGAAAUCUAAUGAAUUUUUCAAAUGAGUACAUUGGUAACACAAAGUAAUUACUUUUUGGGAGGUGGAGGAACCCAAAAUUCAUUAAACUUUUUUUUUUUUCUCAAUUAGCAAAGUGACUUGCUAAAUAAGCUGGGGAUGGAUGGAAAAGUGUUUUAUUAUAAACAUGUUACACACAUACCGCUCCCCAGCCAAACCAAGCAAAUUUGCUUAGAGAGGGCAAGCUUGCCUUGGUGUUUCAAGGCCAACUGAGGGCUGAAAGUUUUUGGAAGAAUUAUCACAGAGCUGAGAAGGGCAAAGGUUGUGGCGUUGUAAAUAGCAGCAGCAGCAAAUGGUGCCCAUUGAGUCUGAUAGGAUGAAAUGCAGGGAGGCCAACAGUAGGUGGCGGCAGAACUUAAUACUAACCUGCUGGAUCUGACCAAUGGCCCAUCUAGUCCAGCAUCCUGUUCUUACAGUGGCCUGUGGGGAACCAGCAAGCAGGAUUCUAGCACAAGAGCACUUUCUCCUCGUUUUUGAUGAUGAUGAUGAUGAUGGAGGCUAUCCUCCAAACCAUGUGGAAAGGAAUUUUUUCUGAACUCCCUCCCUCGUUUCUCUGGGCUUCUUCAUCUCUUUACUACAGGGUCAUCCUCCCAGAUAUAUCAAGAGUGUUGACUUUCAAGAACUGACAACGCUGUACCUUCAUUCUCGAACUUAAUCUGCUCCGGGAGUCUGUUCGACUCCUGAAACGCGAUUCCGUUUGGCUGGAGGAGCUUCCUGUACUCAACCAGAAGCCACAUCGGACAUUCAGCUUCCGAAAAAUGUUCACAAACCGGCACACUCGCUUCCAGGAUUGCGGCGUUCGGGUGCCGAUUUGUUCAGGGUCCAAGCCGUUCAAGUACCAAGGUACCACAGUAUCAUCGAGUCCCACUCUCUUACUCUCCGCAAGAUCUAGACUCAAUCGAGACCGGAAGCAGCCCAUUGAGGGCAAGCAUGGAUGGGGGAGAGGGGACGCACCCUCCAUUUGUGUGCUGUGAACAGGUUAGUAUGUACGCAGCCCAGAGUUUCAUUUGUGUGAAAACCUUGCCAGUCUGUUUCUUUUAAACAUUCAGCCUUUGUUGUUGUUGUGGUUUAGUAAUUUAUUCGUGUCCGACUCUUCGUGGCCCCAUAGACCAGAGCACACCAGACAC